rnacentral:rRNA from 1 species
AUUCCAGCUCCAAUAGCGUAUAUUAAAGUUGUUGCAGUUAAAAAGCUCGUAGUUGAACCUUGGACAAAGUGCGCGUGGUCUACCGCAAGGUAUGACUGCGGCGCUGCGUCUCUUUAGGGGGACUCGAUGCUUCGGUGUCGAGGUAACCCGUGUUACUGUGAAGAAAUUAGAGUGUUUAAAGCAGGCUAUCGCUUGAAUACAUCAGCAUGGAAUAACAAGUUGGACUUUGCUCCUACUUGUUGGUUUGAGGGGAAAAGUAAUGAUUAAUAGGGCCAGUUGGGGGCAUUAGUAUUCAGUAGUCAGAGGUGAAAUUCUUGGAUUUACUGAAGACUAACUAGUGCGAAAGCAUUUGCCAAGGAUGUUUUCAUCA